rnacentral:rRNA from 1 species
GACAAACGGAUCAAAUUAAAAUUAUUACAGUAAAAAAGGAGGUUAAUAAAUUUGUUGUGGAAAAUAAUGCUUUUUAUGGAGGUGGAAUUUGUAUAAAAAGAGAUAAUUUAGGUUUUCCUUUUUUUUGAGGCCUCGAAAUUUUGAUAUAAAACCGGGAUUAGAUACCCCGUUAUUCUAAAUGUAAACUUUAAUUUUUAUUGGUAAUUUACUUGAGUAUUACGAGUGUGAGAGAAUAAUUUAUAUAGUUCUUAAAACUCAAAAAACUUGGCGGUGCCUUAUAUCCUUCCAGGGGAACCUGUCCUAUAAUCGAUAGUCCACGAUUUAGCUUUCUUUCUUUUGUAUUAUAUCAGCUUGUAUACCGUCGUCGUCAGGUUACCUUUAAGAGCUAUGAAGUUAUCGGUGAGAACUAGGUGGGUAAAUCUUAUUUGUAAUAGUGUUUACUUAAUUGUGUUCUAGACGUCAGAUCAAGGUGCAGCCUAUAGGGGAGUAGAGAUGGGUUACAGUAAUAAUUUAUUAUAAUGAAUUUUUUGUUGUAAAAGCAAAAUUGAAGGAGGACUUGGAAGUAAUUAGUUUAAAAAUAAGAGAGUUUAAAUGAAAACAGGCUCUGAGGUGCGC